rnacentral:lncRNA from 1 species
UGUCAUGAAUUUUGUCAAUAGCAGAUUUUUUAUUAUUGUUAAGGUAGAGAUAUGCUUAACAUCAUAUGUAAUCAAAUAGAAAACUUAAGCUUAAACCUUCUUUAAUUGCAGUUCACAUAGAGAUAUAGUGAGUUGGUUGAUUUAGGUAUUUAACGGAUUUCUAUCUUAAUUGUGGAUUGACGUUACUACGGUAUUAGUGCAUCGAGAGGUGGCUAGUAUUACUUUCGUGUUCUUGAUUAAUAAACUGGGAUAUUAAAUUGAGUUGGAAUAAAGGUUUGCAAAUCAGAG